rnacentral:rRNA from 1 species
UAGUCCACGCCCUAAACGAUGGGUGCUAGACUUUGGAAAAUAUAGUUUUUUAGAGUUGAAGCGAAAGCAUUAAGCACUCCGCCUGGGAAGUACGAUCGCAAGAUUAAAACUCAAACGGAAUUGACGGGGGCCCGCACAAGCGGUGGAGCAUGUGGUUUAAUUCGAUAAUACGCGCAAAACCUUACCAGCUUUUGACAUUAAGAUUUUGAGACAGAGAGAUCUGUUUCUUCGGUUCGGCCGGGUCUUAACAGGUGUUGCAUGGCUGUCGUCAGCUCGUGUCGUGAGAUGUUGGGUUAAGUCCCACAACGAGCGCAACCCCUAUUCUUAGUUGCUAACAUUUAGUUGAGCUCUCUAAGAAGACUGCUACUCUUCGGAUGGAGGAAGGAAGGGAUGAUGUCAAGUCCUCAUGGCCCUUAUAAGCUGGGCUACACAUGUGCUACAAUGGUAUUUACAACGAGAAGCAAUGAGGUGACUCGGAGCUAAUCUUCAAAAAAUCCCAAAGUUCGGAUUGUUCU